rnacentral:lncRNA from 1 species
UAUCGUAACCACAAGACCAUUAAAGCGUUACAUGCUGACUUUCUCUUUGGUAUUCUACUGCUGAGUGUAAUGACAAUAAGAUGCAAAGCAAUAUUCUGAGUGGAGCAAGUGAAUGCAACAAUAAUAAAAGCUGAAAACCCUCUGGGCAAUUUGCAUAUAUUUCAGUGUGGAAUACGCCCUUUCUGAACAAGAUUAAGCUUUCAUCUGUUAAGCUUUGGAAAGAAAGAAAUAGUCCUCAACUGAAAAAAAAAAAUUGCAAACUUUUUAUGACAGGGACACAGUAUUUUAAGGAAAGCUAUCAUAUUUAUUAACCACAGUGACUCUUGGCUAAAAUAGAAAAAGAGAAAAAAGGGGCUUUUUGGUUUUCAGGAAUAAAUAUUAUAUCUAGAAAACGAUGGAAGAAAAUUAGAAAGGCAUCGUUUGAUAGAAACUGAAGAAUCCUCAUAUAUUGUUCAAUCUAGUAUCAUGCACAUAGGAAUGAGGAAAGUAACUGCAACAUAAAAAUAUUAAACUCCUAGUGCUAACAAACUCCAAGUGUUUAACAUACGACUUUCAGGGAAAUAGACUACUUAAUUCACAAGACUGAGAAAUUACUUGAUCGCUGUGUAUCGGUACUUAGAUAUAGCAGCUACAACAGGGAGCUUUUCUACCUCAGUAACAAACGAGUAACAAGAUCCAGUGACUGGCAGCUGAAGUAGAAUGAAUUCCAUCUCUGUAUGAUAUGAGAUUCAAUUUCCAAGCUUUGUGGAUAUAAUUUCACCAGAAGAGAUGAAGUUUUCACCGUUGCUUAGAGGCUUUAAAAUGCAUAUUUUAAAAAUGCUUUAAAGGCCCCUCUGAAUUAAAUCCUCUGCUCGUAUGUGCAAAGUAUAGGGGUUUACAGUCGGGGUGGAUAGACAGGGUGGUGUCUUUCAGCCUCAGUCUCUGUGAACUGAUUACUGCUUCUUUCAUUUUCUUCCUUAGGGAGCCAUGGAGGCUGAUUCAAAGGGAGUGGCAGAAUUUGUGGCAGCUCUUCAGGGGUCAUGACUUGGGUUGGGACUCACUCAGGUGAAUAUGGGGGUUUAACGGCUUUGCAUGGUACAAGCAGCCUGGAGCAUUCACUCAUACCGUCUGACUGAUCGCACUUGUAAGUCAUGAACAACAUGACUUGAACUAAAUGGAAUGGCACUGCUGUAAAAAGACUGUAACAUCAGAAUGAGAUCUUCCAGCAAACUUCCCUUGAAAGCUGUAAUUUCUUUACUCUUGUCAAAAAUAGCCUUGUGUAAAAGAGGAAAGUAAUAUUUAGAUCAGUCCUGCUACUUUGAUUUUUAGGAGAAUGACAUAUGUCUGGACUUCAAUAAAUCUUCCUCACCCA